rnacentral:rRNA from 1 species
GCCAGACUCCUACGGGAGGCAGCAGUGGGGGAUAUUGCACAAUGGGGGGAACCCUGAUGCAGCGACGCCGCGUGGGUGAAGGAGCGUUUCGGCGCGUAAAGCCCUAUCGGCAGGGAAGAAGGAGGACGGUACCUGACUAAGAAGCCCCGGCUAACUACGUGCCAGCAGCCGCGGUAAUACGUAGGGGGCAAGCGUUAUCCGGAUUUACUGGGUGUAAAGGGGGCGCAGACGGCGAUGCAAGCCAGGAGUGAAAGCCCGGGGCCCAACCCCGGGACUGCUCUUGGAACUGCGUGGCUGGAGUGCAGGAGGGGCAGGCGGAAUUCCUGGUGUAGCGGUGAAAUGCGUAGAUAUCAGGAGGAAUACCGGUGGCGAAGGCGGCCUGCUGGACUGCGACUGACGUUGAGGCCCGAAAGCGUGGGGAGCAAACAGGAUUAGAUACCCCUGUA